rnacentral:tRNA from 2 species
CGGGCUGUAGCGCAGCUUGGUAGCGCGCCAUACUGGGGGUGUGGAGGUCGCAGGUUCAAAUCCUGUCAGCCCGACCU